CACGUUUCAUCCUUCCUUCUUAACCAUAGCCAGAAACUCUGGCUUUUCUGCUUCCAUUUCCUUCAGAGACUUCUUGAUGUCUUUCAACAGGUGCUGAAUUGAUUUUCCAUUAAACCCACGACGCCCAACCUCCACAGGAUAUGAAACGUCUAGGUAACCCCCGUUCCCUGAUGGAGGACCGCAUAUCGGACAUCUGAGCAUCAGCCUCUGCGUCAGACGGCGCAACGCUCUCAGAUGCAGCGGCGAUGUCAUCAUCCUGCUCAUGGCUCCAACGGAGGCAUCAGACUGGCCGUGAGGCAAGCGUCAAGCCCAGACAAAAGCAAUCGAGUGUGAUGGGGGCGGUGGUUCGUGGGGAUUAACCAGCAAAUCCGUGGCCUCUAAACUCCCCAAAUCGCCUCCAUCACCAGCCAUGUCAUCCUCAAUCCCGUGGGAAGAAGGAGCAAGAAAGGAAAGCCGCGACUGCAAUGAUACCAUGGACUGGAUCCAACCACCUCAUUAACAGAGCUACCUCCUUAAUAUGCUUAACCAUCCACUUCGGGCUUUCAGCUUCCUCUCACUGAUUUUCCACACUCCCAUUGAGAGAUCUUCAACUGCUCUCCUGCUGAUCAAGGGCUUAUUGUGAGCAGUGAUGCUGCAACAUUUCCUCUAAAAGUUACAUAACAGAGCAAUGCUGUGUAUGUGUUUGCAUUUGUUUAUACUGCAUGUGUGUAUAUCUCAAAAGUCAAGAAAAGAAGGGCAUCUAUUUGAGUGUAAGUAAUUUCUUUGAAGAUUAGAUGCACAGGAUACAUCCAUGGCGAUUGGAUGAUGAGAAAGAGAGACAUAUGUGGCAGCAGGUUUAUGCAUAUUUUGCACCCGUACUGUUGUCAAACUUUAUGUCUGAGAUAUAUAAAACACUAACACAUUCUAGAAGUCUGAGUUUAGAAGUACUGUUUUUUAAAGGGCUGUCUAGAAAAUGCU